rnacentral:lncRNA from 10 species
CACAGUUCCUGGCCAGACAGCUGCUUCCCAGUGACAAAUCUACUUUAUAUCAAGAGUGAAAUCAUCCAGAAUAGAGUGAAUUCGGGCUUCAGAGCGGCUGUUUAGGAUUCAGAGCUCUACCAACAUGAGCAAUCUGUUGGCAUGACAGGUCAGAGAAGCCGUGAAGGACAUGGAAGGAAGUAGAUGGAACUGGAAACAGGAGGCCAACCCCAGCAUGGUGCUCAGAAAAAAAUAAGACACUGAAAUUUGAGGACUUAAUGGAGUUUGGUGCCUUCAGUUAGCUGAUGUCUAUGAAGCCUGACCAGUCUACUUCUAGUCUAUAAGAUCAUGUGGAAGCUUCAGUGACAAACUUCUACUUUACUAAUGAUUUUAUGAUCCUGUUACCCAUUGCAAUUGCUUAAAUGGUAUUUUAAUUAGCUGCUUUAAAUGACUUUGCUUUUUUACAAAAAGCAGUGUGUGCUUUAGUUUAAAAUAUGGGUCACUGGUGUUUCUUUCUAGAAGAUGACUGUGUUUAGUACCAGGGAAAAUUGGUGAUGUAUUUGGAGAGGUUUUAACUUCUGUAACUCAGGUUGAUAUCUGGAAUGUGAGUGUUUCCAUACUUCCGUGGAUGCAGCAAAUUUAUAUAAAGCGUUAUUAAAUUUGUUCUAGUUUUUAAA